UGGGGAAUAUUGCACAAUGGGCGCAAGCCUGAUGCAGCCAUGCCGCGUGUAUGAAGAAGGCCUUCGGGUUGUAAAGUACUUUCAGUCGGGAGGAAGGUGUCAAGGUUAAUAACCUUGGCAAUUGACGUUACCGACAGAAGAAGCACCGGCUAACUCCGUGCCAGCAGCCGCGGUAAUACGGAGGGUGCAAGCGUUAAUCGGAAUUACUGGGCGUAAAGCGCACGCAGGCGGUUGAUUGAGUCAGAUGUGAAAUCCCCCGGCUUAACCCGGGAAUUGCAUCUGAUACUGGUCAGCUAGAGUCUUGUAGAGGGGGGUAGAAUUCCAUGUGUAGCGGUGAAAUGCGUAGAGAUGUGGAGGAAUACCGGUGGCGAAGGCGGCCCCCUGGACAAAGACUGACGCUCAGGUGCGAAAGCGUGGGGAGCAAACAGG
rnacentral:rRNA from 1 species